GACGAACGCUGGCGGCGUGCUUAACACAUGCAAGUCGUACGGUAAGGCCCUUUCGUGGGUACACGAGUGACUAACGGGUGAGUAACACGUGAGUAACCUGCCCACAACUUUGUUAGAACUCUAUUAAACUGGUGCUAAUACUUGAUAUGUGCUCCUGCUGCAUGGUGGGGGUUGGUAGGCUCCUGCGGGUGGUUGUGGACGGACUGGCGGCCUAUCUGUUUGUUGGGGGGGUAGUGGCCUAGCCGGGGGCUGGCGGGUAGCCGGCCUGGGUGGGUGAACGGCCACAUUGGGAAUGAGAUAAGGCCCAGACUCCUACGGGAGGCAGAAGUGGGGAAUAUUGCAAAAUGGGCGCAAGCCUGAUGCAGCCACGCCGCGGGCGGGAUGACGGCCUUCGGGUUGUAAACCGCUUUCAGCAGGGACGAAGCUUUUUGUGACGGUAACUGAAGAAGAAGCACCGGCUAACUACGUG
rnacentral:rRNA from 1 species